UACGGAGGGUGCAAGCGUUGUCCGGAUUUAUUGGGUUUAAAGGGUGCGUAGGUGGCUUAUUAAGUCAGUGUUUAAAGUCUGCAGCUUAACUGUGGGUAUGGCAUUGAUACUGAUAGGCUUGAGUAAAGUUGAGGUAGGCGGAAUUGAAGGUGUAGCGGUGAAAUGCAUAGAUAUCUUCAAGAACACCGAUUGCGAAGGCAGCUUACUAAGCUUUAACUGACACUGAGGCACGAAAGCGUGGGGAUCAAACAGG
rnacentral:rRNA from 1 species